rnacentral:rRNA from 1 species
GAUGUAGGGCGCGAGCGUUGUCCGGAUUUAUUGGGCGUAAAGAGCUCGUAGGCGGCUUGUCGCGUUGUUCGUGAAAACUCACAGCUCAACUGUGGGCGUGCGGGCGAUACGGGCAGACUGGAGUACUGCAGGGGAGACUGGAAUUCCUGGUGUAGCGGUGGAAUGCGCAGAUAUCAGGAGGAACACCGGUGGCGAAGGCGGGUCUCUGGGCAGUAACUGACGCUGAGGAGCGAAAGCGUGGGGAGCGAACAGG